rnacentral:lncRNA from 1 species
AAUUGACCUGCACAUGUAUACUAGCUGUGAAUUGUGUGACACGGAUACAUCUAGUUGACUAACUGAUUUGACGCCAUAAAAUGUAAAUAUAAACUAUUUACAUGACCGUAUUUAAAAUAUCUAUUACAUACAAUAUUCUUUUUAAAUAAAUUCAAUUCCUAAAAUCAUAAAAUAUUGUAAUGCAUAUCUAAAUUUGCGUGAAUGGUCCCUAUAUAUACUUACACAGUUAAGGAUGUCGAUGGAAUUAACAAAAUACGGAUAAUGGUAAAAACUGGAGAAUAAAUGGGCAUAAAUUAAAUGAAUGAUGAAUGGAGAAAAGUAAAAUAAAAAAGGGUAUAAUGGUGGGG